GAUGAACGCUAGCGGGAGGCUUAACACAUGCAAGUCGAGGGGCAGCAUAGGGUAGCAAUACUCUGAUGGCGACCGGCAAACGGGUGAGUAACGCGUAUGCAACCUACCCUGUACAGGGGGAUAACCCGGAGAAAUUCGGACUAAUAUCCCGUAAUAAUAUCCGGAGGCAUCUUUGGAUAUUUAAAGUUCCGACGGUACGGGAUGGGCAUGCGUAACAUUAACUGGUUGGUAAGGUAACGGCUUACCAAGGCUAUGAUGUUUAGGGGUCCUGAGAGGGUGGUCCCCACACUGGUACUGAGACACGGACCAGACUCCUACGGGAGGCAGCAGUGAGGAAUAUUGGUCAAUGGGCGCAAGCCUGAACCAGCCAUCCCGCGUGCAGGAAGACGGCCCUAUGGGUUGUAAACUGCUUUUCCAGGGAGAGAAACUUACGCACGUGUUGCGUGACUGACGGUACCCUGGGAAUAAGCAUCGGCUAACUCCGUGCCCAGCAGCCGCGGUAAACAGUACUCGUA
rnacentral:rRNA from 1 species